UGAUAUAAAAAACUAAAAAUCAAAAUACAAACAACUACACAUGGUUACAUAACCUCGUCGUUCCAUGCAUAGGUAAAUCUCCAACUACGUACGAUACGGAUUGGGUUGACAAGUAAUAAAAGUCGUAAAGCACCGUACCUGAAAAAUCUUAGCAAACCACCACAGGAUACCGACCGAUACACAACCAAAAACAAAUAACACCAGCCGUUGAUGGAAUGUCCAGAGUAAAUUAUUGUUGCAAGAUAUCCAGUUACUCCACGAUAGUAUAAUUUUAGAGUAAUUCCGUCGUUGAUUUACCCCAAUCCAUCAUUCGUCGAUGUAAUAUUAAAACGUGCUCGCGUUGCGGGCACGAACGUGUAAAUUGUUAAUUUUGAUAAAAUUUAUAUUUGAUGUGUACCAUUCAAAGGUGUUUUGUUCAAGAGACCUAACUUUUAAAUUGUCUAAGCUUUUAAGCUCGGUUCUGUAUUCAUACGCGAACUACGUUGUUUUUGUUUGUUAAAUUUUAAUAAUUGUUGCGCGUGGUACACGUUAACGUGUACUAACGUCCGUUCACACGCUAGCGUGAUUUUAUUUCAACUUUUUUAAUUGAAUGAUUUUUCUUUGUUUUUAUUUUGUG